rnacentral:piRNA from 1 species
GUGGCACAUCCGAGGUCUUUGAGACUGUAUUU